rnacentral:rRNA from 1 species
AAACCGAAGAGUUUACUCUUCGGGGUUGUAGGACUGCAAUGUGGACUCAAAGAUUAUAGAAGAAUGAUUUGGGAAGAUCAGCCAAAGAGAGUAAUAGCCUCGUAUUUAAAAUAGUCUUUGUACUUAGCAGUAUCCUGAGUACGGCGGGACACGUGAAAUCCCGUCGGAAUCUGGGAGGACCAUCUCCCAACCCUAAAUACUCCCUAGUGACCGAUAGUGAACCAGUACCGUGAGGGAAAGGUGAAAAGCACCCCGGGAGGGGAGUGAAAUAGAACCUGAAACCGUGUGCCUACAACAAGUUCGAGCCCGUUAAUGGGUGAGAGCGUGCCUUUUGUAGAAUGAACCGGCGAGUUACGUUAUGAUGCGAGGUUAAGUUGAAGAGACGGAGCCGUAGGGAAACCGAGUCUGAAUAGGGCGCCUUAGUAUCAUGACGUAGACCCGAAACCAUGUGACCUACCCAUGAGCAGGUUGAAGGUGCGGUAAGACGCACUGGAGGACCGAACCAGGGCACGUUGAAAAGUGCUUGGAUGACUUGUGGGUAGCGGAGAAAUUCCAAACGAACUUGGAGAUAGCUGGUUCUCUCCGAAAUAGCUUUAGGGCUAGCGUCGACAUUAGAGAUUCUUGGAGGUAGAGCACUGUUUGGGUGAGGGGUCCAUCCCGGAUUACCAAUCUCAGAUAAACUCCGAAUGCCAAUGAAUUAUGGUCGGCAGUCAGACUGCGAGUGCUAAGAUCCGUAGUCGAAAGGGAAACAGCCCAGACCACCAGCUAAGGUCCCAAAAUAAUUGUUAAGUGGAAAAGGAUGUGGGGUUGCACAGACAACUAGGAUGUUAGCUUAGAAGCAGCUAUUCAUUCAAAGAGUGCGUAAUAGCUCACUAGUCGAGUGACCCUGCGCCGAAAAUGUACCGGGGCUAAAACAAUUUACCGAAGCUGUGGAUACCUUUAUAGGUAUGGUAGGAGAGCGUUCUAUGUGUGAUGAAGGUAUACCGUGAGGAGUGCUGGAACGCAUAGAAGUGAGAAUGCCGGUAUGAGUAGCGAAAGACAGGUGAGAAUCCUGUCCACCGUAAGACUAAGGUUUCCAGGGGAAGGCUCGUCCGCCCUGGGUUAGUCGGGACCUAAGGAGAGACCGAAAGGUGUAUCCGAUGGACAACAGGUUGAUAUUCCUGUACUAGAGUAUGUAGUGAUGGAGGGACGCAGUAGGCUAACUAAAGCAGACGAUUGGAAGAGUCUGUCUAAGCAGUGAGGUGUGAAUUGAGUCAAAUGCUUAAUUCUAUAACAUUGAGCUGUGAUGGGGAGCGAAGUUUAGUAGCGAAGUUAGUGACGUCACACUGCCAAGAAAAGCUUCUAGCGUUUAAACAUACUCUACCCGUACCGCAAACCGACACAGGUAGUCGAGGCGAGUAGCCUCAGGUGAGCGAGAGAACUCUCGUUAAGGAACUCGGCAAAAUGACCCCGUAACUUCGGGAGAAGGGGUGCUGACUUAAAGUCAGCCGCAGUGAAUAGGCCCAAGCAACUGUUUAUCAAAAACACAGCUCUCUGCUAAAUCGUAAGAUGAUGUAUAGGGGGUGACGCCUGCCCGGUGCUGGAAGGUUAAGAGGAGUGCUUAGCGUAAGCGAAGGUAUGAAUUGAAGCCCCAGUAAACGGCGGCCGUAACUAUAACGGUCCUAAGGUAGCGAAAUUCCUUGUCGGGUAAGUUCCGACCCGCACGAAAGGCGUAAUGAUUUGGGCACUGUCUCAACGAGAGACUCGGUGAAAUUUUAGUACCUGUGAAGAUGCAGGUUACCCGCGACAGGACGGAAAGACCCCAUGGAGCUUUACUGCAGUUUGAUAUUGAGUGUCUGUACCACAUGUACAGGAUAGGUAGGAGUCUAAGAGAUCGGGACGCCAGUUUCGAAGGAGACGCUGUUGGGAUACUACCCUUGUGUUAUGGCCACUCUAACCCAGAUAGGUGAUCCCUAUCGGAGACAGUGUCUGACGGGCAGUUUGACUGGGGCGGUCGCCUCCUAAAAGGUAACGGAGGCGCCCAAAGGUUCCCUCAGAAUGGUUGGAAAUCAUUCGCAGAGUGUAAAGGUAUAAGGGAGCUUGACUGCGAGAGCUACAACUCGAGCAGGGACGAAAGUCGGGCUUAGUGAUCCGGUGGUUCCGUAUGGAAGGGCCAUCGCUCAACGGAUAAAAGCUACCCUGGGGAUAACAGGCUUAUCUCCCCCAAGAGUUCACAUCGACGGGGAGGUUUGGCACCUCGAUGUCGGCUCGUCGCAUCCUGGGGCUGUAGUCGGUCCCAAGGGUUGGGCUGUUCGCCCAUUAAAGCGGCACGCGAGCUGGGUUCAGAACGUCGUGAGACAGUUCGGUCCCUAUCCGUCGCGGGCGUAGGAAAUUUGAGAGGAUCUGCUCCUAGUACGAGAGGACCAGAGUGGACUUACCGCUGGUGUACCAGUUGUCUUGCCAAAGGCAUCGCUGGGUAGCUAUGUAGGGAAGGGAUAAACGCUGAAAGCAUCUAAGUGUGAAACCCACCUCAAGAUGAGAUUUCCCAUGAUUAUAUAUCAGUAAGAGCCCUGAGAGAUGAUCAGGUAGAUAGGUUAGAAGUGGAAGUGUGGCGACACAUGUAGCGGACUAAUACUAAUAGCUCGAGGACUUAUCCAA